UACGUAGGGAGCAAGCGUUGUCCGGAAUCAUUGGGCGUAAAGCGCGCGUAGGUGGCCUCAUAAGUCCGCUGUGAAAGUCAAAGGCUCAACCUUUGAAAGCCGGUGGAUACUGUGAGGCUAGAGUACGGAAGAGGCGAGUGGAAUUCCUGGUGUAGCGGUAGAAUGCGCAGAUAUCAGGAGGAACACCAAUAGCGAAGGCAGCUCGCUGGGACGUUACUGACACUGAGGCGCGAAAGCGUGGGAGCGAACAGG
rnacentral:rRNA from 1 species